rnacentral:rRNA from 1 species
AGGUUAUCAAGGAGACAGGUGGUGCAUGGUUGUCGUCAGCUCGUGUCGUGAGAUGUUGGGUUAAGUCCCGCAACGAGCGCAACCCUUAUUGCUAGUUACCAUCAUUCAGUUGGGGACUCUAGCGAGACUGCCAGUGAUAAACUGGAGGAAGGUGGGGAUGACGUCAAAUCAUCAUGCCCCUUAUGACCUGGGCUACAAACGUGAUACAAUGGCUGAAACAAAGGGCAGCGAAGCAGUGAUGUGGAGCGAAACCCAAAAAGCAGUCUCAGUUCGGAUUGAAGUCUGCAACUCGACUUCAUGAAGUCGGAAUCGCUAGUAAUCGCGGAUCAGAACGCCGCGGUGAAUACGUUCUCGGGGUUU